rnacentral:rRNA from 1 species
AACGAACGCUGGCGGCAGGCUUAACACAUGCAAGUCGAACGCUCGUGGCAACACGGGAGUGGCAGACGGGUGAGUGACGCGUGGGAACCUACCUCAUGGUGCGGAAUAGCGGAGGGACACUUGAGCUAAUACCGCAUGUGUCCUUCGGGAGAAAGAUUUAUCGCCAUGGGAUGGGCCCGCGUCGGAUUAGCUAGUUGGUGGGGUAACGGCCUACCAAGGCGACGAUCCGUAGCUGGUGUGAGAGGAUGAUCAGCCACACUGGGACUGAGACACGGCCCAGACUCCUACGGGAGGCAGCAGUGGGGAAUAUUGGACAAUGGGCGCAAGCCUGAUCCAGCCAUGCCGCGUGAGUGAUGAAGGCCUUAGGGUUGUAAAGCUCUUUCGCCGGUGAAGAUAAUGACGGUAACCGGAGAAGAAGCCCCGGCUAACUUCGUGCCAGCCGCCGCAGUAACAC